CACCACCAGCACCUCCAUCGCCGGAUCCCCGGCAACCCAACAAACACAGAGGCAGUGGGUGGAACCCGGAGUGGGCUAUGGAUCCUAAAUAUGCAGGUUGGCUUUACCACACAGAACACGGAAUGUUUUGUAGAAUCUGCAGGAUGCACCGACAAAAGGCAUCUCGUGGCCCCUCUCAAAGGCCUUUCAUAGAGCUACCUUGUACCAACUACAGGCGCGAUGCCUUGGACCAGCACUUGGGCUCAACGAAUCAUAUUUCAUGUGUGGGCAUUACAGCCCAAUCAAGCCGAAGUCUGCCCAUCAAUGAGGCAUUUCAGCCCAUUUUGAAUUUGGAGCAUGAGGCCAUAAUUGGUGGCUUUAAAUGUCUAUACUGGCUGGUAAAACAUGAAAUUGCGCACCAUACAAAUUACCCGGCAUUGCUGGAUCUGGCAGACCUCCUAGGCUGCGAAUAUUUUGCCAAACUGAAGGUAAAAAAAUAUUUCAUUACAGUGUACAUUUGCUGUCAUGGGUUUCUAGUAGAAUUAACUAUAAUUUAAGGAUAUAUUAUUUUCCUAGAUUGAUCAGAGGACAAACUACAGGUCUCACAGGAUUGUGGAUGAAAUGCUACAGAUUCUGGGUGAAGUGGUUGAGGAGCCCAUUUUAGAGGCCAUUAAAUCAUCAAAGGCUAUUGGCCUGGAAAUUGACGAGUCCACAGACAUCUCUGUGACAAAACAGUUAGAUCUCCAUGUCAGGUACAGUAGUGGUCUUCUUCUUAUUUUUUUUUAAAUGGGUCAUGAUGAGGUCUUCCUGAAUGUGUAACAAAACCAGGUAAGGCUAAUUGUUUUUGUAAAUACUCCAGGUACACAGACAAGGAAGGACGGAUGUUCUGUCAAUUCCUGGAUCUUGUAUCUAUUCCAGAUGGCACAGCUAUAACUAUAGCUGAAGCUGUGAAGGAGGUCAUCAUAAGAAAAGAAAUACCUCAGGACCGCAUCUUUGGCCUUGGCACAGAUGGAGCCGCAGUGAUGACCGGUAAAGUAUAGGAAAAAGGACGGUUAAGUUAAUGUCGAAA